UCCUGAUGGCUCAGCGGUAAAGAAUCUGCCUGCAAUGCAGGAGCCACAGGAGACCUGGGUUCGAUCCCUAGGUCAGGAA
rnacentral:tRNA from 1 species